AUAAGGUUAAGUGAAUAAGGGCGCACGGUGGAUGCCUUGGCACUAGGAGCCGAUGAAGGACGGGACUAACACCGAUAUGCUUUGGGGAGCUGUACGUAAGCUAUGAUCCAGAGAUUUCCGAAUGGGGGAACCCAACAUCUUUAAUAGGAUGUUACGAUUGUGUGAAUACAUAGCACAUUCGAGGUAGACGCAGAGAACUGAAACAUCUAAGUACCUGCAGGAAGAGAAAGAAAAUUCGAUUCCCUGAGUAGCGGCGAGCGAAACGGGAAAAGCCCAAACCAGCAAGCUUGCUUGUUGGGGUUGUAGGACUCCAAUAUGGUAGUUCUUUCAGAUAGUCGAAUGACUUGGAAAAGUCAGUCAAAGAGGGUAAAACCCCGUAGACGAAAUGUGGAAGACACCUAGGAGGAUCCUGAGUACGGCGGAACACGAGAAAUUCCGUCGGAAUCCGGGAGGACCAUCUCCCAAGGCUAAAUACUCCCUAGUGACCGAUAGUGAACCAGUACCGUGAGGAAAGGUGAAAAGCACCCCGGAAGGGGAGUGAAAUAGAACCUGAAACCGUGUGCCUACAACAAGUCAAAGCCCGUUAAUGGGUGAUGGCGUGCCUUUUGUAGAAUGAACCGGCGAGUUACGAUUGCAUGCGAGGUUAAGUUGAAGAGACGGAGCCGCAGCGAAAGCGAGUCUGAAUAGGGCGUUUGAGUAUGUAGUCGUAGACCCGAAACCAUGUGAUCUACCCAUGUCCAGGUUGAAGGUGCGGUAAAACGCACUGGAGGACCGAACCCACGUACGUUGAAAAGUGCGGGGAUGAGGUGUGGGUAGCGGAGAAAUUCCAAACGAACUUGGAGAUAGCUGGUUCUCUCCGAAAUAGCUUUAGGGCUAGCCUCGGAAUUGAGAAUGAUGGAGGUAGAGCACUGUUUGGACUAGGGGCCCAUCUCGGGUUACCGAAUUCAGAUAAACUCCGAAUGCCAUUCAUUCAUAUCCGGGAGUCAGACUGUGAGUGAUAAGAUCCAUAGUCGAAAGGGAAACAGCCCAGACCACCAGCUAAGGUCCCAAAAUAUAUGUUAAGUGGAAAAGGAUGUGGGGUUGCACAGACAACUAGGAUGUUGGCUUAGAAGCAGCCACCAUUUAAAGAGUGCGUAAUAGCUCACUAGUCGAGUGACCCUGCGCCGAAAAUGUACCGGGGCUAAACAUAUUACCGAAGCUGUGGAGUACACCUUUAGGUGUAUUGGUAGGAGAGCGUUCUAAGGGCGUUGAAGGCAGAUCGUGAGGACUGCUGGAGCGCUUAGAAGUGAGAAUGCCGGUAUGAGUAGCGAAAGACAGGUGAGAAUCCUGUCCACCGAAUGACUAAGGUUUCCUGGGAAGGCUCGUCCGCCCAGGGUUAGUCGGGACCUAAGCCGAGGCCGACAGGCGUAGGCGAUGGAUAACAGGUUGAUAUUCCUGUACCCGUUGUUUUGUUUGAGCAAUGGAGGGACGCAGGAGGCUAAGGAAUGCAGACGAUCGGAAAUGUCUGUCCAAGCAGUAAGUCUGAAGAGGAGUCAAAUGCUUCUUUUCUUAAGGACAAGCUGUGAUGGGGAGGGAAAUAAUAGUACCGAAGUUCCUGAUGUCACACUGCCGAGAAAAGCUUCUAGUGAGAAAACAGCGGCCCGUACCGCAAACCGACACAGGUAGUCGAGGAGAGAAUCCUAAGGUGAGCGAGAGAACUCUCGUUAAGGAACUCGGCAAAAUGACCCCGUAACUUCGGGAGAAGGGGUGCUGAUCAUACGAUCAGCCGCAGUGAAUAGGCCCAAGCGACUGUUUAUCAAAACACAGGUCUCUGCAAAAUCGUAAGAUGAAGUAUAGGGCUGACGCCUGCCCGGUGCUGGAAGGUUAAGAGGAGUGCUUAGCGCAAGCGAAGGUACGAAUUGAAGCCCCAGUAAACGGCGGCCGUAACUAUAACGGUCCUAAGGUAGCGAAAUUCCUUGUCGGGUAAGUUCCGACCCGCACGAAAGGCGUAACGAUUUGGGCACUGUCUCAACGAGAGACUCGGUGAAAUUUUAGUACCUGUGAAGAUGCAGGUUACCCGCGACAGGACGGAAAGACCCCAUGGAGCUUUACUGUAGUUUGAUAUUGAGUGUCUGUACCGCAUGUACAGGAUAGGUAGGAGCCGUAGAAAUCGGAACGCUAGUUUCGAUGGAGGCGCUGGUGGGAUACUACCCCUGCGUUAUGGCCACUCUAACCCGCACCACUAAUCGUGGUGGGAGACAGUGUCAGAUGGGCAGUUUGACUGGGGCGGUCGCCUCCUAAAAGGUAACGGAGGCGCCCAAAGGUUCCCUCAGAAUGGUUGGAAAUCAUUCGAAGAGUGUAAAGGCAGAAGGGAGCUUGACUGCGAGACCAACAAGUCGAGCAGGACGAAAGUCGGGCUUAGUGAUCCGGUGGUUCCGCAUGGAAGGGCCAUCGCUCAACGGAUAAAAGCUACCCUGGGGAUAACAGGCUUAUCUCCCCCAAGAGUCCACAUCGACGGGGAGGUUUGGCACCUCGAUGUCGGCUCGUCGCAUCCUGGGGCUGUAGUCGGUCCCAAGGGUUGGGCUGUUCGCCCAUUAAAGCGGCACGCGAGCUGGGUUCAGAACGUCGUGAGACAGUUCGGUCCCUAUCCGUCGCGGGCGUUGGAAAUUUGAGAGGAGCUGUCCUUAGUACGAGAGGACCGGGAUGGACUUACCGCUGGUGUACCAGUUGUUCUGCCAAGGGCAUUGCUGGGUAGCUAUGUAGGGAAGGGAUAAACGCUGAAAGCAUCUAAGUGUGAAGCCCACCUCAAGAUGAGAUUUCCCAUUUCUUUAAGAAAGUAAGAUCCCUGAGAGAUGAUCAGGUAGAUAGGUCAGGAGUGGAAGUACAGUGAUGUAUGGAGCGGACUGAUACUAAUCGAUCGAGGACUUAACCAAU
rnacentral:rRNA from 1 species